UAUAAACCAAGCUAGACUUGAUAGAUAACGCUUUUUCACGUCUUAUGUUUUGCUCAUAUAACGUCUUUAUCAUUUUCGUGUCACAUACGACAUUACCGAUUAAGUAUAGUAGUGACUAUAGAGAUGUAAAGACAGAGUGCGUUAGCGAGCUGAAAAAGCGAUAUAGCAAAUGUUGACCAUGAGGAUGUCUCGAAUGCAGCACUUUCGAAAAUGGACUUGCAACCGGUAGAACUUACAAGAACGCGACGACGGCUGGCAUGGUCAUGCAGGCGCCGACAAUGAAAAACGUCCCUGGAAACGUUUUCAUGGUUGCAGCGUAAAUGGAACUGUACAUAGGCCCAUAGAUGAGAGGCAUCAGAGAUUCGCAGACACCAAGCAACGAAUUCACCUUGCCUGCAAAUCAACGAAAAUUCAGAUACAGUAUUCCGGACAACGCCAUUCCGAUCGGUACACCAAGCGACAAGAAAACAUUUGCAGCACCAAUUCGAAGCGUCCUGGACUCUACCGACGUGAUAUCCGCGAUAUAACUGAAAACACC